AACGAACGCUGGCGGCGUGUUUAAGACAUGCAAGUCGCACGGGACUAUUUGAGUAGCAAUACAGGGAUAGUUUAGUGGCGCACGGGUGAGUAACACGUGAAUUACAUGCCCUGCAGAGGGGGAUAGCCCAGGGAAACUUGGAUUAAUACCCCAUGGUAUCGCGAGAUUAAAGGUGGCCGCAAGGCUGUCGCUGCAGGAUUGGUUCGCGCCCUAUCAGCUUGUUGGUGAGGUAACGGCUCACCAAGGCUACGACGGGUACCUGGUCUGAGAGGACGAUCAGGCACACUGGAACUGAGACACGGUCCAGACACCUACGGGUGGCAGCAGUCGAGAAUAAUUCACAAUGGGGGCAACCCUGAUGGUGCAACGCCGCGUGGAGGAUGAAGGUCUUCGGAUUGUAAACUCCUGUCAUCCGGGAGUAAGACCUGGCGAUGAAUAGUCGACAGGGUUGAUAGUACCGGAAGAGGAAGGGACGGCUAACUUCGUGCCAGCAGCCGCCGUAA
rnacentral:rRNA from 1 species